rnacentral:rRNA from 1 species
AACGAACGCUGGCGGCAGGCCUAACACAUGCAAGUCGAGCGCCCUUUCGGGGGCGCGGCGGACGGGUGAGUAACGCGUGGGAAUAUGCCCUUCUCUACGGAAUAGCCUCGGGAAACUGAGAGUAAUACCGUAUACGCCCUGUGGGGGAAAGAUUUAUCGGGGAAGGAUUAGCCCGCGUUGGAUUAGGUAGUUGGUGGGGUAAUGGCCUACCAAGCCGACGAUCCAUAGCUGGUUUGAGAGGAUGAUCAGCCACACUGGGACUGAGACACGGCCCAGACUCCUACGGGAGGCAGCAGUGGGGAAUCUUAGACAAUGGGGGCAACCCUGAUCUAGCCAUGCCGCGUGAGUGAUGAAGGCCUUAGGGUUGUAAGCUCUUUCAGCUGGGAAGAUAAUGACGGUACCAGCAGAAGAAGCCCCGGCUAACUCCGUG